rnacentral:lncRNA from 1 species
GUAGUACAUUAACUUCAUUUCCGUUUGGUACCCUUUUCCAAGCUGCGUUUUCAUUUUCGUUUUCAUAAUACACAUAUAAUACAUGCUUGGUGAGUUAAUUUAAAAAAAAAUAAAUUACAAAAUAAAAAAUCCGGAUUCAUUAUUAUUACUAAUCAAUUGAAAACAACUUAAACAUGUUCUGCAAAUAUUACAAAUUAAACCUAAAAAUGAAUUAAAAAACAAAAGAAAAUCGUGACCCUCCUCCUCCUUUUCUCUUCACUGCCGUUCUCUCUUUCCCCUCACCUUUCUUGAUCCAGUUGCAGCAAAUCUGCACUCCCUCCCUCCCCUUAUCUUCAUCCACUGCCCAGCAAAUCUGCACUCUCAAAUCUGCACUUUCUCAGUUGCAACAUCUUUCUCUCUCGUCUCAGCCCAGCCGUUGCUGCUCCGUCUUUGCUCUCCCGGAUCUGUCACUUGCCCAGCCGCCAUCUCGCUGCAACCACUGCUGCUCCAUCCAACUAGCUUGACUGUUUUUGCUCUCUCAGCUCCAUCUUUGUUAUGUGAGUUGCUGAUUGGGUUUUAAUUUGAUUGCGUACAAUAAUUAUUUUCUAAGGCUUGCGUACAAUCGAAUUUGGCAUUCAUUGGGUUUUAAUUUGCUUGGGAAUCUUUGUUAUGUGAGUUGCUGAUUGGGUUUUGAGUUUGAUUAAUGGAUUAAAAUACAAUAGAUUUGUUAGUGUUAAUACAUUGAUAAUUUGAACGUGUAAUGUAAUUUUCCUGCUAGUGCUGAUGAUUAUUGUUUUUUUUUUCUUUUGGCAGAGCAAAUAUUGUUUCUGGAAAGCAGUUAAACUGCUUUCUAAUUCCGUGUCUAAUGUGUUUUCAGAAUGAAUAUUCAAAAAAAAAAAAUUGACACUUAUUUCACAAAAAGUUGUUCCAAGAAGAUGUGUAAUUGGAUUUACAUUUAUUGCUGUGUUUGGGAGCAUGGAAUCAGAACCUUGGAAUUGGAAAUUGAAACUGCAAAUGCUAUAUAAAAUAAUUUUGCACGAGCAAGCUUCAUGUUAAAUUGCACUAACUCUAGUUCAUACCAUGCAUGCUUUCAGUUUAUUAUAGCUGGAAUACACAUGCUGAUCUUUAUGGUAUGUUUAUCGCAUUACAAAUUUAGUUAAAGUACCUUUGAGAUAAAGAGUUUUUGUGUUAAUGUUAAAUGAGAAAAUGCAUAGAUUUGAUUAUAACAAAUCUGUUGUAUUAUAAUCCAUUAAUCAAAUUAUCAACGUAUGCAUAAUUAUAGUUUACAUAAGCAACGUCUCAUUCCAAUUGCAUGUUGCACUUUACAUAAUUUUAUUCGACAAGAAAAUGCAAGUGAUACGUUAUUUGGGGACUUUGAUGUGCAAGAUUUGGUUAUCAACGAAUGAGACACUAGUAGGCCACUUACUAAUAUUGAUUUAUCUCCAGCAAGUGUCGCAGAGAUGAAUGCUACAAGAGAUGAAAUUGCAGCUUCUAUGUGGCAUGAUUACAUACGUAAUGCAUAAUGUCUAUCAUGUAAUUUUUUUAUAAUUAUUUUGUUUAAAUCAUGUGUUGUAAUAUAUAUCUUAUUUAUGGUAUAAAAACAAUGACAAUGUCAAACUUUUUUUUAAUUAAUGUUAAUUCUAAAACUUUAUCAUC